ACAUAAUCUACAUUGAGUAAAAAAAAAAUAUAUUCUACAUAUUAUAAGAUGGACAGAACAAGGAAUUCUUCUCUCAAAUUGACAUUCUUGGUUGCUUUUCUCAUCAUUUCAUCAGCUAUGUGCACGCAGUUGGAAGGCAAGACAACUAAUGAAGAAACACAAACUUGUCGCACAAAUGAAGAUUGUAAUGUCUAUAAAAUUAGUUGUUCAAUCCUACAUGUUCUAUUAUGUGUAAAUAAUAAGUGUCGAUGUCUCCCAGUCCCACCUUCCACCAAAAAUAUUCCUAGUCCAUAAGUCCUUCAUUACAAAUAUUGAGUAAUGAAUUACUCUAAUUAGGAGAAUAAUAGUAUAUAUAAUUAAAAAAUUAAUAAGAAAGGAAUGAUAUUUUAUAGAAUU